rnacentral:piRNA from 1 species
UAAAACGUAACCACAAAUUAGUCUAGAUA